rnacentral:lncRNA from 1 species
ACUUGCUGGAGAAGUUGGAGAGUCUUCCUCAUUAUCUAGGCAGAGCAUAUGUUGAGGUUGUUUUGCUCGGUGUUAUCAGAGUGGGAGACCUGCUCUCAAAAAUGGUUAAAAGGAUUGCUGCCCCAAAUGACGCACAGUAGAUUUCUGUGUUGGAGUUUCUGUGAGCAAUCUCCAUGGUUAGCCAGUGCUGCACCUCAACUUGGGAGAGAAAGGAGCCUCUAGCUGAGACUGGCAUGUGCUCCAUUCUCUGUAGUGAAUGGACUGUGAGGUCACUGAGACUGAGCUGAGGUGAAAGGAUGCAGACAGCCUAUGACACUGUAGAGAAAUUCUAAAAGAUCUGGAAAGGUGAAUGUAUGUGCUUUGGCUUAAAUUUGGCAACCAGGAGAGUGAUGCAGAGCAGAGUCAUUCAAGUUGGCAUGCCUGCCUUCUGCGGGUGGGUUCAAGUUUGGGGAGAGUGGGCUGUUUUAAAAUUUGGUGCUGGCUGUGCAGAUAGAUUUGAGAAGAUUUACGGGUGUGUUAAGUUCAGAACAAGUUGUGGUUUUAGAGGCUGUCACCCUGUGCCCUCUUUUAAAUGUUCACUUGAAUCUCUGCUCAGCCCUAGCAGUGACUGACUGAAUUGGACCAAAGUUCAUGCCGACAUUCAUGCUGUGGCUUACAGUGAGUGACUAGAUUGUUCUUUAGUUGCUAUUGUUCUAGCCAUGUCAGUUAAACAGAUCAAGUGGGUUGACUUACUGAUUUCCAAAAUGGC